UACGUAGGGUGCAAGCGUUAAUCGGAAUUACCGGGCGUAAAGCGUGCGCAGGCGGUUCGGAAAGAAAGAUGUGAAAUCCCAGGGCUUAACCUUGGAACUGCAUUUUUAACUGCCGGGCUAGAGUAUGUCAGAGGGGGGUAGAAUUCCACGUGUAGAGGUGAAAUUCGUAGAUAUUCGGAGGAACAUCAGUGGCGAAGGCGGCCAUCUGGGACAACACUGACGCUGAAGCACGAAAGCGUGGGGAGCAAACAGG
rnacentral:rRNA from 1 species